GACGAACGCUGGCGGCGUGCUUAACACAUGCAAGUCGAGCGGUAAGGCUCCUUCGGGAGUACACGAGCGGCGAACGGGGGAGUAACACGUGAGCAAUCUGCCCUUCACUUUGGGAUAAGCACCGGAAACGGUGUCUAAUACCGAAUACGACCCCUUCCGGCAUCGGAGGGUGGUGGAAAGUUCCGGCGGUGAAGGAUGAGCUCGCGGCCUUUCAGCUUGGUGGUGGGGUAACGGCCCACCAAGGCUCCGACGGGUAGCCGGCCUGAGAGGGUGACCGGCCACACUAGGACGGAGACACGGCCCAGACUCCUACGGGAGGCAGCAGUGGGGAAUAUUGGACAAUGGGCGAAAGCCUGAUCCAGCAACGCCGCGUGAGGGAUGACGGCCUACGGGUUGUAAACCUCUUACAGCAGGGACGAAGCGCAAGUGACGGUACCUGCAGAAGAAGCACCGGCCAACUACGUGCCAGCCGCCGCGGUAACAC
rnacentral:rRNA from 1 species